rnacentral:lncRNA from 1 species
GCUUCGGUGCUCACUUGAAGGGGGAGAUGGUCCUUAGCAAAAGAAAAGGAGGGUAGAGAAAGAGAAGGAGGGAGGGGGGGUUGAAUGGCUGCUGUGCCGUGAUGUUGCAGUGGCUGCUUGGGUACUCACUUGAAGGGGAGAUGGUGGGAUGGGACUUUUACUAAUUAGAUAGAGUGAAUUUUUCAUAAUGACCCUACUUUUUCUUACAGAGAGGUUCCUUUCUGGACAAAUUCUUUGACCGUGAAGCGCCAUGGGAUGACCUUUUCCUAUUCUCCUCUUGCUUCACAGGAUAAACAGUAUUGCCAAGAACAGUUUUAUGGGACUUUUUUUUAAGUAUUUUUUUUUAAUAUUUUCAUUCAAAAAUUAUAUUAAACUGAAGAGACUUUUUGUCUACCUUUAUUAGAUUCAUGCAUCUUUGUUGAAAUAGUGUACUUGACAGCAAUCUAUUUCCAUAACAUUUUUUU